GGUCAAGCUAUGAAGAGCGCAG
rnacentral:rRNA from 1 species